GGCUCCCUUUCUCAUUUUCCUACUUCUUUUCUCCCCUCCGAUCUCCGUAGAUAGUCUGUUAGUGUUUGCGCCCGUUACGUAUAUAUAUAUAUAGAGAGAAGGGUUCAAUAGAGAAGCUAAAUAUUGUGGAGAAUAGAGAAUUCGCAAAAUAAAAACGAACAGAUCUAUAGUUUUAAUGAACAGAUCAAUGUACCGCAUGAACAACAAUUUGCCCCGGGUUCGAAUCCUGCUGGUGGCGAGUUUUUCUAUAUUUUUAUUAAAUACGUCUGUUCAUUACUUAUGUUGAUCUGUUCAUAAAAUAUAUAGAUUUGUUCGUUCUCUCGAAAAAGAUAAUUCUCUGUUGAACUCAACCCUAUAUAUAUAUAUAGGGUCAAGUUAAAUAAAGAAUGACCCUAUGUAUAGAGAAUAGAGAUUAAAUCUCAUCCCUAGAAUUUGGCAGAUCGUGUGGUUGAAAUUAAAUGAUUUUUCAUAUCUUAAUUAACAAUUCAAAUAAACAAAAUAAUACUAUUAAUUCGAACAAGGGCAUUACAGUCAAUAUGUUUUGGAUAAAAACUGCAAGCCCUAAAAUCACUCCUCAUUAACAACUCACACGUUCCUCUCUCUCUCUCUCUCUCUCUCUCUCUCUCUCUCUCUCUCUUAUUUCUCAACCUCUCGGUCGUCUCUCACCUUCUCUGCAAAUCCUUCGUCUCUUUCUUCUUCAAUGGCGUCGUGGCGGCGGAUGAGGGGAUUGGCUGGGUGGAUGUCGCAAUCGCAAGCGGCGUAGAUAGAGACGACGUAAAAGGCCGCAGAUUUUCCGAUCACUUCUCUCUUCCCCUGCCUUCUGUUCUUGGUUCACGACGGUUGUCCACAGGAGGGCGCACGUCGCUACGAUCUGUGGCGUUGUUCUGCGCAGCGGCGAUGGGUGUGGUGGCGGUGGCAUUCACCACCACGAUGCGGGAGAGGUGGGCGGUCGUUUACGGACAGCGGCGAGAUCCUGAAGUUGACGACACAUGAGCAGGGUUGGGGAUGAAUGGCUGAUGCUGCUGGCAGAGCGCGGAGAAUACGGCCAGGUGAGGGGCGUGGUAGACGAGGACCGGGGCCAAUCGAAAAAAUGCAUAAUUCUCGAUCCGCCAUGAAAUUCGAGAAUGGGGAAUUAUGGCGAUAGUAGGAGAGGAGGAAACACGCCUUUCCUUUCUGUUUUUUCUAUUUUAUUGUUCAGUUAAUUUGUAAAUAAUUUUUCUAUAGUUGUUAGAGACGAGUGAAGAGAUUUUUAAAAAUUGUGAUUGUUAUUUGACUGUUCAUUUAGAAAUUGUAUUUUGUUCAUUGAAGAAAUUGUUUUCCGUUCAUUUAUAAAUUAUGUUCUGUUCA